GAGGGUAUGGCUCAGUGGUAGAGCUAGUGCUUAUCAUGCAUGAGGUCCUGGGUUAAAUCCUCAGUACCUCCU
rfam:Camelus ferus unplaced genomic scaffold scaffold505, whole genome shotgun sequence.